GACGAACCGUGCGAACGUUGUUCGGAAUCACUGGGCUUAAAGGGCGCGUAGGCGGGUUCGCAAGUCUGUGGUGAAAGCCUCCAGCUUAACUGGAGAAGUGCCGUGGAUACUGCGAAUCUUGAGGAGGGUAGGGGCGUCUGGAACGGUCGGUGGAGCGGUGAAAUGCGUUGAUAUCGGAAGGAACGCCGGUGGCGAAAGCGGCGAUGCUGGACCUUUUCUGACGCUGAGGCGCGAAAGCUAGGGGAGCGAACGGG
rnacentral:rRNA from 1 species